UACGAAGGGGGCUAGCGUUGUUCGGAAUCACUGGGCGUAAAGGGUGCGUAGGUGGGUAGGUAAGUCAGUGGUGAAAUCUUCGAGCUUAACUCGGAAACUGCCAUUGAUACUAUCUGUCUUGAAUACUUUGGAGGUAAGCGGAAUAUGUCAUGUAGCGGUGAAAUGCUUAGAUAUGACAUAGAACACCAAUUGCGAAGGCAGCUUACUACACAGUCAUUGACACUGAGGCACGAAAGCGUGGGGAUCAAACAGG
rnacentral:rRNA from 1 species